rnacentral:rRNA from 1 species
UACGAAGGGGGCUAGCGUUGUUCGGAAUCACUGGGCGUAAAGCGCUCGUAGGCGGAUAUUUAAGUCAGAGGUGAAAGCCUGGAGCUCAACUCCAGAACUGCCUUUGAUACUGGGUAUCUUGAGUCCGGUAGAGGUGAGUGGAACUGCUAGUGUAGAGGUGAAAUUCGUAGAUAUUAGCAAGAACACCAGUGGCGAAGGCGGCUCACUGGACCGGUACUGACGCUGAGGAGCGAAAGCGUGGGGAGCAAACAGG